UUGCAAUCUGCUAUCUGUCAUAAAUAAAUAGGCUGGGAAUUAGUCUGAUUGCAUUGUUGCAAUGCUUGGCAUCCUCUUCUUCCUGCAGAACCACUACUUGGCUACAAUGAGGUAGAACUGUGGUCGUCCGAAGGUGAUGGGUGCCUGUGCUGAUGGCCAUAAGGUGGUCAGGGAGAGAUGAUUGGCUGUCCGAGUGCUGAUCUUUGCCUACGAAGAUUCAGAAAAGGUCCAUUGUUCCCCUGCAAGGAGCUGAGAGUGAACUUUACUUUCUUGUGAGGACUUUGAGCCCAGGCAGACCAAGGAAUCAUCUGCCUGUGAUACAGACUGUAAGACCAUCUUGGAGUCCAAUAUUUCCACCAAAGCAUGAUGCGUGCUGCUUUUGCUUGCUCUUCUACAAUAGUCAUUAAUUAAAUUUGGGAUCUACAUAAAUUAAAGUUCUGUACACGCCAAAAAUUUCACAUAAGUUCAGAUGACUUGGGAACCUACAAUUCAGAGAGGCAAGUUCCCAGUUCCUGCCCACGAGUCCCACAGGAUGCUGGUCUUCACACUGAGGCAUGUGACUGCUUCUCCAGUUUGGCCGUAUGAGAUGUGCCUGAGCUCACAUAAAACAUGAGAGCUGGAACUGGGUGCACUUCUUCAAUGUCCCAUGCUAAUAUCUGUCAUCACCAUGCUGUUCUCACCUCCUGUGUGGCAAUAACAAUGUGUUUUUUCAGCAGUUAGUCUUGCCUGCAUUUGCAAGCAUGAAGCCAGAAGAAAAGCAGUCCAUUUAAAUGGAAAGUUUCAGUCAAAAAAACCCUCUGCUAAUUCCUGCUGCUUCCCAAGCUGCUAAAAAAGGACUGUCGCAGCUUUUGCCAGCUGGGAAUUGGACUUAUCAACCCAGUGAAGUACAAGAAGUUGACUGUGCUCCUGUAGACCAUGGGAGAUGAGAUGGAACCUUCCCAGAGGCACACAUUCGCCACCCCUCUCCAUUCGGUUCAGUCGUUGGGUUUCUUUGCUGCUGGCACUGCAGAGCCGUGCAGAGGAGGUGCACAGGAGCUGACACCUGGCUUUCAGCUGCUCUUUUCCUCCUUGAGUCUGGAAAGCAAUGGGCUUCCUCUUGCUUUUAAAGCAGCGUGAUGGAGGCGAUGGCAUCACACACACACGUACAGGCAGAAUUCCGUCCAGCUGAGGGAGUGAUAGAGAUAAAGUACACGAGGUGCAAUUAAAUUCCAAGUACAGCAGCACUGCUGGAAGAAGAAAUCAUAAACCAGACUUACGAUGAACAACCUGGAUAGCAAUAUUUCGAAGCUGAGAUCGUUUUUGGACUCAUCAUCUUUGGAUGAACUUCUUAUAUUUAUAUAAUUAUGUGUCCUGAAACAAGACUGAAAAUAACCCUAGACUCAACUCAGAGCAGAUGGGUACUCUCACAGAUGGCAUGCACAAAAGCAGGACUCUGGACCACUUUUUCCUCUAUCUAAGCA